rnacentral:lncRNA from 1 species
AAAGAAAUAAGUUUAUAUAUAAAAUUUUCCCUAUAGGGGCAAUUGCAUCAAUACAUAAGUCCUAAGCACCAAAGAAUAGCCAAAAUAAGAUAAAAAUAUUUGAAAAUCUUAUAUUUCUUUAAAGAAUUUUUUUUCUAAACUUCAAUAGUUCAUAUUUUACAAUUGGAAAGUCCAAAAAAAUUCAAAUUUUAUAUGAAGUACUAAUAUAUUUUAAAUAACUAUUAAAAAAAAUUAAUUAUAAAUUUACUCUAAAUCUUAUAAUAUUACCAAAAUCAUAACAAUAGCUUCAAACCCCUAUUUACAUACACCCACAUACAACUUUCUUUAUGUCUCACAAACUAAUCACUUGAAUACCACAAAAAUUGGUAUAUAUCUUCUUAUCCUAAUAAUUCACACUUUCAAAAACUUUGAGUUCAAAACUUAUCCAAAAACUUAAAAUAUGGCUCCAACUAUUACUAUCAAUAAAAUGAUUUACUUAUUACCCUUGAGUUACUUAUGUUGUCUUCAACUCCCUAUAAUUCCUUCAUACAAACUCUAAAUAUAAUAAUUCUCUUAUGAUAGAUGUAGAU